rnacentral:piRNA from 1 species
UACACCGGACACUGAGUCAAAUGAACAGGA